rnacentral:rRNA from 1 species
UACGGAGGGUGCGAGCGUUGUCCGGAAUCACUGGGCGUAAAGGGCGCGUAGGCGGCGCGGGAAGUCAACGGUGAAAGCUUGGGGCUCAACUCCGAGUCGGCCGUCGAUACUCCCGUGCUCGAGCACUGUAGAGGCAGAUGGAAUUCCGGGUGUAGCGGUGGAAUGCGUAGAGAUCCGGAAGAACACCGGUGGCGAAGGCGGGUUGCUGGGCUGACACUGACGCUGAUGCGCGAAAGCUAGGGGAGCAAACAGG